CACUACCUCUGAUUCAGUGGAAUCAUCGACUACGGACGUGGCGACUAAGACAUCUACGAGGCCUAUGACCACGGUGUCAGACACAACGACAUCGCCAGAAACCACCGCCUCCAAUUCGGUGAAAACGGAAGCCAAAACCAAGUCCGAGCCGAGCCCUACGAUCACGAUGCCGGAACGAUCAGAGGCAACGACAUCGCAAGUAACCACAACCUCCAGUA